CUGUCAAGGACCCACCACCUUCCACUCUGCAACCUGGUGCUGUGUGUGGAAACCCUUCAGCAUCCAUUCAACCUUCAUCCCCUUCCUUCCAGUCAGACAGGCAUGAAUCUCAAGAAAUAACAAAUACAAUGACACUAUUUCUACUGGACCUUACAAAAACUCAUCAGCACCUUUAUUUUCGGAACAAAAUGGCAUUCUAUAAAAAAAUACAAAACCUAUUCUCACAAAAGGGCUACAACUUGUCAAGUGAGAAAAUUUGAAAAAAACUAGCAAACAUGUUAACUACUUAUAAGAGAGUGAAAGACAGGCGCCGUGCAUCUGGGGAAGGGAAGAUCACCUGGGAGUACUAUACACUAAUGGAUGAGUUAUUUGGGUCAUCGGGGAUCGGUACUGCACCACCUGGCACCAUUCACUCCACACCUCUGGGUUUGGAAGAGACCUCUUCCACAAGCAGGCCCACAACGUCUUCUCUUCAAGACCAGCCGGUAGGUGCUAG